rnacentral:tRNA from 1 species
AUGACAGUAGCUCAGUGGUAGAGCUCCAGCUUCAUACGCGGGAAGACCUGGGCUGGACUCCCGGCUGCUUUC